GACGAACGCUGGCGGCGUGCCUAAUACAUGCAAGUAGAACGCUGAAGCGAUGAGCUUGCUCUUCUUGGAUGAGUUGCGCACGGGUGAGUAACGCGUAGGUAACCUGCCUUGUAGCGGGGGAUAACUAUUGGAAACGAUAUCUAAUACCGCAUAACAAUGGAUUACACAUUUCAUUUAUUUGAAAUGGGCAAUUGCUCCACUACAAGAUGGACCUUCGUUGUAUUAGCUAGUAGGUGAGUUAAUGGCUCACGUAGGCGUCGAUACAUAGCCGACCUGAGAGGGUGGUCGGCCACACUGAGACGGAGACACGCCACAGAGGCAUACGGGAGGGAGCAGGAGGGAAACUGGGGGAAUGGGUGGAAAACAGUGCGAGAAGCGCGGAGGGAGUAAGGAGGAAUGUCGGAUCGUAGAGCUCGGUUGUAGGUCAAGAAAGGGUGUGAGAGUGGAAAGUACACUGUGUGACGGUAACUGACAAGAAAGGGACGGCUAACUACGUG
rnacentral:rRNA from 1 species